rnacentral:lncRNA from 1 species
AUACAGGGGCAGGGAUAUCAUUGUCAUCACAAUGAUUAUCAACAUCAACAAUUACAGGGGAUGGGGGUGUUGAAAUCUGAUCACCAGAUUUCUCUUUCACAUUCACAGGGGAGUUAGGGGUCAUACCUGAUUGCUUCAUUUUUUGUUGUUCCUUUAUGCUGUUGGACUGCUGCUUUUGUACCUGCGGGUACAGAUUUUUACCUUGCUCUUGAUUUUGUUGAUGGUGCUUGUUUUUCUUUUUGGUUUGAACUUGCCAUUNNNN